AAUCGAUCAACUUGGUACUUGUAUAGAGUACUUGUUUACAAGGUGCACAAGUUUCAACCACAGCAUUAUUGUUCAUUUUGGAUUUGGCUUGUCAUGCCUUAAUCUAUGGCAGGCUCUUUGCAAAUUAAGGGAUCAAGACGGCUUUGCGAAGUACCGGAGUCAAAUUGAACGAGCAACGAAAUUGACCACGAUUUCAGCUGCAAGAAACCAUUGAGGGAGAAAGGUACACAAAUUAACGCAUUGCAGAAAGACUAACAAAAUCGUUCAAUUACCAUCUUCAAAACUAUGCUUUUGGCGUAAAAGAAAUGUUCUGGAAUGAUUGUGUUUGCUGGCACAGAUGGUUAAUAGACUUUGCGGCUGCGGUUGAGCAAUUUUUCACUUUAAUAGCUGAUAACAACAAGGCUGAGAAAACUGAGAAAGAUAUAAUGGCUAAAGUAAUUUUAGUUAUCCUUAUUCUUUACUCAAAACGCAUGUAGAACAGUGCUUGGUGUCUGCCAAGGAGUAACGUUUCCAGCACCAGUUUGCUUUGGACUUGACUUGCUUAGCAAAUAUACAGCAGAAAC